AGUGUUCUUUUUUGGUUACAACCAUACUGGCUUCAUCAAACUCACCAUGCAGAUCAUUGGCCGAGCACCAGGAUGAUGACUCUCAGAACAUGUGCAGUAGUAUUGGCCGCAGAAGACACUAAACUGAAGUUAAAACUGGAGGAGGUUGGUCUGCCAAGCUAACCUGCAGCGGACGGCUUCGAUCGCGCAGCUUGGCCGGGUGAUUUGGGAGGUGCUGCACGCUGGCGAGGUAGCACUGGCCACCAGGACGCUCCGGCGGCGACACGAGCCACGGAGGUCUGUCAUCCGCGACGAGAUGCAAGGAGGGCUCUCCUCGGUGGAGGGGAUCGGUGGUAUUCGGUGGUCUCUGCCUGGGCCGCCAAUUCCAGCAGCAGCUGCUCGACGGACUCCUCCGCGCCCUGAUGUCCCUGAUGGCUGGCAUCUUUGCAGGAGACCGUUGACGUGCAGGAACUGGAGAGACUGGGUGCAGGAGGUGUCCACGUCCUGCAGGAUC